rnacentral:rRNA from 1 species
UACGUAGGUGGCAAGCGUUGUCCGGAUUUAUUGGGUUUAAAGGGUGCGUAGGCGGCCCUGUAAGUCAGUGCUGAAAUAUCCCGGCUUAACCGGGAGGGUGGCAUUGAUACUGCAGGGCUUGAGUACAGAUGAGGUAGGCGGAAUUGACGGUGUAGCGGUGAAAUGCAUAGAUAUCGUCAAGAACACCGAUAGCGAAGGCAGCUUACCAAGCUGUAACUGACGCUGAGGCACGAAAGUGUGGGGAUCAAACAGGAUUAGAUACCCUGGUAGUCCACACUGUAAACGUUGAUGACUCGAUGUUGGCGAUAUACAGCCAGCGUCCAAGAGCAAUCGUUAAGUCAUCCACCUGGGGAGUACGCCGGCAACGGUGAA